rnacentral:rRNA from 1 species
UAAGGGCGCACGGUGGAUGCCUUGGCACUAGAAGCCGAUGAAGGACGUUACUAACGACGAUAUGCUUUGGGGAGCUGUAAGUAAGCUUUGAUCCAGAGAUUUCCGAAUGGGGAAACCCAGCAUGAGUUAUGUCAUGUUAUCGAUAUGUGAAUACAUAGCAUAUCAGAAGGCACACCCGGAGAACUGAAACAUCUUAGUACCCGGAGGAAGAGAAAGAAAAUUCGAUUCCCUUAGUAGCGGCGAGCGAAACGGGAAGAGCCCAAACCAACAAGCUUGCUUGUUGGGGUUGUAGGACACUCUAUACGGAGUUACAAAGGACGACAUUAGACGAAUCAUCUGGAAAGAUGAAUCAAAGAAGGUAAUAAUCCUGUAGUCGAAAAUGUUGUCUCUCUUGAGUGGAUCCUGAGUACGACGGAGCACGUGAAAUUCCGUCGGAAUCUGGGAGGACCAUCUCCUAAGGCUAAAUACUCUCUAGUGACCGAUAGUGAACCAGUACCGUGAGGGAAAGGUGAAAAGCACCCCGGAAGGGGAGUGAAAUAGAACCUGAAACCGUGUGCUUACAAGUAGUCAGAGCCCGUUAAUGGGUGAUGGCGUGCCUUUUGUAGAAUGAACCGGCGAGUUACGAUUUGAUGCAAGGUUAAGCAGUAAAUGUGGAGCCGUAGCGAAAGCGAGUCUGAAUAGGGCGUUUAGUAUUUGGUCGUAGACCCGAAACCAGGUGAUCUACCCUUGGUCAGGUUGAAGUUCAGGUAACACUGAAUGGAGGACCGAACCGACUUACGUUGAAAAGUGAGCGGAUGAACUGAGGGUAGCGGAGAAAUUCCAAUCGAACCUGGAGAUAGCUGGUUCUCUCCGAAAUAGCUUUAGGGCUAGCCUCAAGUGAUGAUUAUUGGAGGUAGAGCACUGUUUGGACGAGGGGCCCCUCUCGGGUUACCGAAUUCAGACAAACUCCGAAUGCCAAUUAAUUUAACUUGGGAGUCAGAACAUGGGUGAUAAGGUCCGUGUUCGAAAGGGAAACAGCCCAGACCACCAGCUAAGGUCCCAAAAUAUAUGUUAAGUGGAAAAGGAUGUGGCGUUGCCCAGACAACUAGGAUGUUGGCUUAGAAGCAGCCAUCAUUUAAAGAGUGCGUAAUAGCUCACUAGUCGAGUGACACUGCGCCGAAAAUGUACCGGGGCUAAACAUAUUACCGAAGCUGUGGAUUGUCCUUUGGACAAUGGUAGGAGAGCGUUCUAAGGGCGUUGAAGCAUGAUCGUAAGGACAUGUGGAGCGCUUAGAAGUGAGAAUGCCGGUGUGAGUAGCGAAAGACGGGUGAGAAUCCCGUCCACCGAUUGACUAAGGUUUCCAGAGGAAGGCUCGUCCGCUCUGGGUUAGUCGGGUCCUAAGCUGAGGCCGACAGGCGUAGGCGAUGGAUAACAGGUUGAUAUUCCUGUACCACCUAUAAUCGUUUUAAUCGAUGGGGGGACGCAGUAGGAUAGGCGAAGCGUGCGAUUGGAUUGCACGUCUAAGCAGUAAGGCUGAGUAUUAGGCAAAUCCGGUACUCGUUAAGGCUGAGCUGUGAUGGGGAGAAGACAUUGAGUCUUCGAGUCGUUGAUUUCACACUGCCGAGAAAAGCCUCUAGAUAGAAAAUAGGUGCCCGUACCGCAAACCGACACAGGUAGUCAAGAUGAGAAUUCUAAGGUGAGCGAGCGAACUCUCGUUAAGGAACUCGGCAAAAUGACCCCGUAACUUCGGGAGAAGGGGUGCUCUUUAGGGUUAACGCCCAGAAGAGCCGCAGUGAAUAGGCCCAAGCGACUGUUUAUCAAAAACACAGGUCUCUGCUAAACCGUAAGGUGAUGUAUAGGGGCUGACGCCUGCCCGGUGCUGGAAGGUUAAGAGGAGUGGUUAGCUUCUGCGAAGCUACGAAUCGAAGCCCCAGUAAACGGCGGCCGUAACUAUAACGGUCCUAAGGUAGCGAAAUUCCUUGUCGGGUAAGUUCCGACCCGCACGAAAGGCGUAACGAUUUGGGCACUGUCUCAACGAGAGACUCGGUGAAAUCAUAGUACCUGUGAAGAUGCAGGUUACCCGCGACAGGACGGAAAGACCCCGUGGAGCUUUACUGUAGCCUGAUAUUGAAAUUCGGCACAGCUUGUACAGGAUAGGUAGGAGCCUUUGAAACGUGAGCGCUAGCUUACGUGGAGGCGCUGGUGGGAUACUACCCUAGCUGUGUUGGCUUUCUAACCCGCACCACUUAUCGUGGUGGGAGACAGUGUCAGGCGGGCAGUUUGACUGGGGCGGUCGCCUCCUAAAAGGUAACGGAGGCGCUCAAAGGUUCCCUCAGAAUGGUUGGAAAUCAUUCAUAGAGUGUAAAGGCAUAAGGGAGCUUGACUGCGAGACCUACAAGUCGAGCAGGGUCGAAAGACGGACUUAGUGAUCCGGUGGUUCCGCAUGGAAGGGCCAUCGCUCAACGGAUAAAAGCUACCCCGGGGAUAACAGGCUUAUCUCCCCCAAGAGUUCACAUCGACGGGGAGGUUUGGCACCUCGAUGUCGGCUCAUCGCAUCCUGGGGCUGUAGUCGGUCCCAAGGGUUGGGCUGUUCGCCCAUUAAAGCGGUACGCGAGCUGGGUUCAGAACGUCGUGAGACAGUUCGGUCCCUAUCCGUCGUGGGCGUAGGAAAUUUGAGAGGAGCUGUCCUUAGUACGAGAGGACCGGGAUGGACAUACCUCUGGUGUACCAGUUGUCGUGCCAACGGCAUAGCUGGGUAGCUAUGUGUGGACGGGAUAAGUGCUGAAAGCAUCUAAGCAUGAAGCCCCCCUCAAGAUGAGAUUUCCCAACUUCGGUUAUAAGAUCCCUCAAAGAUGAUGAGGUUAAUAGGUUCGAGGUGGAAGCAUGGUGACAUGUGGAGCUGACGAAUACUAA